rnacentral:rRNA from 1 species
GGGGGGGGGGGGCGGGGGGCGGGGGGGGUGCAGGGGGGGCGGGGGGGCGGUGCGGGUGGGGGGGGCUCGGGUGGGGGACGGGUGAGUACCACGUGGGUAACCUGCCCUGGAGUUUGGGAUCCCUUCAGGAAGCUGGGGCUCGUACCGGCUCGGAGCUCCUGCUGCCUAUUGGGGUGUGCCACGUUUCGGCGGUUGGGGAUGGACUCGCGGCUUAUCAGCUUGUUGGUGGGGUAGUGGCUUACCAAGGCUUUGACGGGUAGCCGGCCUGAGAGGGUGACCGGCCACAUUGGGACUGAGAUACGGCCCAGACUCCUACGGGAGGCAGCAGUGGGGAAUAUUGCACAAUGGGCGGAAGCCUGAUGCAGCAACGCCGCGUGCGGGAUGACGGCCUUCGGGUUGUAAACCGCUUUCGCCUGUGACGAAGCGUGAGUGACGGUAAUGGGUAAAGAAGCACCGGCUAACUACGUG